CCCAUAAAUAAUAAAAGGUCUGAUUAAGUCCCUUAACUUUAUUUAAAGUAUCAGUUUGAUCAUUUCUGUUAAUUUAAUUCAAAAAAAUUUAAGUUUAGGGAUCAAACUAAUACUAUUAAAUAAGAUAAGGGACCAAAAUAAUACUGAUUAAAUAAGUUAAGGGACCAAAAUUUAACGUUUUUUCAAUUAAAUUAACAGAAGGGACCAAACCGAUACUUGAAAUAAAGUUAAGGGACUUAAACGAACUUUUUAUUACUUUUGGGA
rfam:Medicago truncatula strain A17 chromosome 3, whole genome shotgun sequence.